GACGUAGGGGCCAGCGUUGUUCGGAAUUACUGGGUGUAAAGGGUUCGUAGGCGGUGUAGCAAGUCGGGAGUGAAAUCUCUGGGCUUAACCCAGAGGCUGCUUCCGAAACUGCUGUGCUUGAGUGUGGGAGAGGCGCGUGGAAUUGCAGGUGUAGCGGUGAAAUGCGUAGAUAUCUGCAGGAACACCCGUGGCGAAAGCGGCGCGCUGGACCACUACUGACGCUGAGGAACGAAAGCUAGGGGAGCAAACAGG
rnacentral:rRNA from 1 species